rnacentral:rRNA from 1 species
UACAGAGGUCUCAAGCGUUGUUCGGAUUCAUUGGGCGUAAAGGGUGUGUAGGUGGCGCGCUAAGUCGGGUGUGAAAUUUCGGAGCUUAACUCCGAAACUGCAUUCGAUACUGGCGUGCUUGAGGACUGGAGAGGAGACUGGAAUUUAUGGUGUAGCGUGAAAUGCGUAGAGAUCAUGAGGAAGACCAGUGGCGAAGGCGGGUCUCUGGACAGUUCCUGACGCUGAGGCACGAAGGCCAGGGGAGCAAACGGG